GAUGAACGCUGGCGGCGUGCCUAACACAUGCAAGUCGAACGGGGUCCCGCCUUAGAGACCUUCGGGUCAAAGAGGGGAAGACUGAGUGGCGGACGGGUGAGUAACACGUGGGCAACCUGGCUCAUAGAGGGGGAUAACAGAGAGAAAUUUCUGCUAAUACCGCAUAAGCACUCACUGCCGCAUGGCAGAGUGUGAAAAGAGAAUCGCUAUGAGAUGGACCCGCGUCUGAUUAGCCAGUUGGCAGGGUAAGAGCCUACCAAAGCGACGAUCAGUAGCCGAUUUGAGAGGAUGAACGGCCACAUUGGGACUGAGACACGGCCCAAACUCCUACGGGAGGCAGCAGUGGGGGAUAUUGCACAAUGGGGGGAACCCUGAUGCAGCGACGCCGCGUGAGUGAAGAAGUAUUUCGGUAUGUAAAGCUCUAUCAGCAGGGAAGAUAAUGACAGUACCUGAAUAAGAAGCCCCGGCUAACUACGUG
rnacentral:rRNA from 1 species